rnacentral:rRNA from 1 species
GAUGAACGCUAGCGACAGGCCUAACACAUGCAAGUCGAGGGGCAGCACGGUGUAGCAAUACAUGGGUGGCGACCGGCGCACGGGUGAGUAACGCGUAUGCAACCUGCCUACUACAAGGGGAUAACCCGUUGAAAGACGGACUAAUACCCUAUAACACAGGGAAUCCGCAUGGAUAUAUUUGUUAAAGAUUUAUCGGUAGUAGAUGGGCAUGCGUUCCAUUAGCUUGUUGGUGAGGUAACGGCUCACCAAGGCAACGAUGGAUAGGGGAACUGAGAGGUUGAUCCCCCACACUGGAACUGAGACACGGUCCAGACUCCUACGGGAGGCAGCAGUGAGGAAUAUUGGUCAAUGGACGAGAGUCUGAACCAGCCAAGUCGCGUGAAGGAAGACGGCCCUACGGGUUGUAAACUUCUUUUGUAAGGGAAUAAAUAGUCUUACGCGCUAAGACGUUGCAGGUACCUUACGAAUAAGGAUCGGCUAACUCCGUG